AAAUUGAUAAAAAGCUAAUGAUAAUUUACUUUGAUUCAUUGACGUCGUUGAUCGUGAUAGUGUCGUGAUAGGUCGAAUUGGAUAGGUAAAGAGUAGGUUCGGGUAGGCAAAAGCAGGACUUGCAAUCGUUGAAUGAUAAAAGUGUUUUGUCGAAAUGUGUUGAUUUAUGUUUUCGGAUUGGAAUGUAUUCAUUUGGUCGGGGAAUGCCCCGAAGAUUGAUGUAUUUAUUCACCGGGGAAUGCCCCGACGUAUCAUGUUGGCAAAGACGCUCGUGAGGAAGGCCCG
rnacentral:lncRNA from 1 species